AUGUGCAUUCUUAGAGUUUUACGAGGGAGACGAAGGGGCAUCUGAUAUCGCACGAAAGCAAACGUGCGCGUGUAUGGGCACCCUCUUUAGAUCUGCAGUGUAGAAGAAAAAAGUCGAUGCCGACGUCAGGCAAGGCUCUCUCCGGUGGGUGGCUGCAGGACACGCAGGGGCUCGUCGGCACUGCACAAAGCACAACCUCCACCCCCUCUUUACCUCCCGCCGUGGUGCACAGCUUCCCCCACGCAGGGUCGUCUUCGACUCUGUCGUCUCCCGACGGCUCCGUUGUCGCCGGUGACCCUACCCCGUACGGGGUGACAGCACAGCAACUCGACGCGCUGUCGGCCAUGGCCUACCUUGUCGGCUCGCCACUGCAACGACAGCAGCCUGUCGGGAGUGACAUGACGCACCCUGCCUUGCUUGUAGCAGCGAAACUGCUGCAGCACGGCGUCGACCCCGAACGCAUUAUUGAACUGAUCGAGUGUCGCUACCACGACGCCUCCUAGGGGUGAGCAGCGCUGCCGCCAAGGAGGAGAAAAGCGGCACUUUUCCGCGCAGUGACGCGCACACCGACGGCGUGUGCCGAUGGCGUCUGUCCUCCUGCCUUCCACCAGCUAAGCGCGGGGGAUCUCUGGCCCACAGACGAACUACACUAAAAGAAGGCGACGAAGUCUUAGGCCAACGACAAAUGUGUGCAAGAUGCGCUCAUGUCCCCUCGAUUUGGUGAAGGGAAACAGCAAUAUAUAUAUCCGGUGCCCUUGUGCUCACGAGGGGUGGGUGGGCGUCGCAGCAACCGGCGUCGGGUUGUACGGGCCUGCUUUCCUUUUUCGGGUCCCACCCCCUCUCUCCCCUCGACUCCUGCUCUCCUCACACGUCGUGAUGCGCUCUGCGUGAGAGGCGCUUUCUUUCACUUCCUUUACUCAACGUGGGUGGGGUGUGUGCCGACUGUCUUUGUGUAUGGGUGUGAGAGAGAGACAAGAGACGAGAGGAGCGCACGGAAUCAUGCAAUAAAAAGCGCCGCGCGCUACAACGGCCACAACCCAAAACGCGCUUUUCGUCUCCUGUAUCUCCCUCUCUCUCUCUCUCUCAGGAGUGCUCGGCAUCGCCACAG
rnacentral:misc_RNA from 1 species